rnacentral:rRNA from 1 species
CGUAGGUGGCAAGCGUUGUCCGGAUUUAUUGGGCGGUAAAGACGAGCGCAGGCGGAAGAAUAAAGUCUGAUGUGAAAGACCCUCGGCUUAACCGAGGAACUGCAUCGGAAACUGUUUUUCUUUGAGUGCAGAAGAGGAGAGUGGAACUCCAUGUGUAGCGGUGGGAAUGCGUAGAUAUAUGGAAGAACACCAGUGGCGAAGGCGGCUCUCUGGUCUGCAACUGACGCUGAGGCUCGAAAGCAUGGGUAGCGAACAGGAUU